CAAGCUCACUACCGUCAACGAGCGGCCUCGAGAGGAAAAUUACGAAAACAAUGGCUGAAUAACAAACAUCAACAUUGAAGGAACUGCCAGUUCCUCUGCUGACACCUGCAUACGCGGUAAAGACAGAAGACAGUAGACCGAAGACGAAAAGCGAGCUACAAGGAAAUAAUUCAACCGAGCGCGAGAUAAAACGAGGGUUAGCACCGGAGCUGCUUUUCCGAGGUGGCGAAAGCUAACGACCUGAAGACUCCAAACCGAUGAGUGCCAUGCUGAAGGACGUCCUAAAAUGCAUCUCAUGGAGAGUGGAGGUUUGCUGAAGAGGCAAGGAUGUACAGAAAGUCUUCUCGGCACCCAUGACAUGAAAAAGGUGAGAGGGACCAAGAUGCAAAGAGAGGAGGCAAGAAAAGGAAUCUGGGAUGUACAAACUGUGACAUUAGAAAAGCCCCCAGUGCAGCUCAGCCUCAAAUGGAGUGUUCAGUUCACAACACUGAACUUUAGCAUGUAGCUUAACUUUCCUGAAAUAAAAGCCCACCUGGAAGGA